GGGGAAGACUGGGGAUCGGGGAAAAUGUCGCUCCUGUCAAAGUGCCACCUGGAGCCACGGUCCCACUGGGACCUAUGGAUGGGCCGGCCCUGACAGAUACACAGAAAAACAGGUCCAGAUACACAGACAUACAUAUACACACAUAUAGAUGUACAGAACCACAGAUACAAAAACACUGCCAAACAUGCAGAUACACAGUUACAGAAAUACAGAUGCACACACUGACACACAAACAUCCAGAUACACACACAGGUACACACCCAGAUAUACACACACAGAUACCGACAUAUAGAUACACAGACUGACACGCAGGCAUACAGAUACACACACUGACCCAUACACAGAUACAAAAACAUACAAAUAUGCACACUGACACAUAGACAUACAGAUGCGCACACUGACAAACACACAGAUAUACCGACAUACAGAUAACGACAUUGACACAAACACAGAGACACACACUGACACACACAGACAUACACACACACAUUGACACUGUGUGCCAUACAAACAGAGGUUAGGGAAACAGUAACCAGAAUUAAGUAAUAAAAAGAUAGAAGGUACGUAUACCGGACCUUAGAGUGGCCGGGUUAACGUAUGCCGUAGAUAGAUAAAAAUACAGAGUCAAAAUAGAAAGCCAAGAUCAAGGACACCAGAGAUACUAAAAUACGAAAUAACAAGCCAAAGUCAGGAAACCAGAAAAGUCAAAUACAAAGCCGGGUCAGUAAUGAGAAAAACAAAUAACAACUACACAGUAUGCACUCACAGGCAGAAUAAACCACUACAGAGAAAUGAUCUCAAGAAAGAAGGAAUUUUAAAUAGGGAGAACAAAAAUCUUAUUGGACAGCAUCAUCACCCUGCACCAAAUUACAAGUGUUGAGAGCAGAUGAUCUGUCCCAAUAAUAUGACUUGUCACUUUAAUGCUAUAAAAAGCCUACAACUACAGGGUCCUAUAAUUUCCAAGGACUCCUGUAGGUGGCGCAAGGCUGCCAAAAUGAUCAGGAAACCUUGACAGAUCAUGCAGGGGUUGCUCUGCAUGAGGAGCAACCAAUUGCCGCACAGUGUUCGCGGCACCAUGGACCGCGGCACUGUGCAGCACCCCCUGGAAGCUCCAUGUGCCACGUGGCAUUCCAUGGUAUGACAGACACACACAGAUACAAAGACCUACAGAUACACACAUUGACACACAUAGAUAUACAGAUACACAAACAGAUAGACAGACAUACAGAUACACUAGCACACACAUACAUAUACUGAUACACUGACACAGAUACAGACACCACAUACUGACAUCCAAAACAUAUAUAUACAUACCUUUUAAUUGGCUUCUGCUGGUGGGAGUUGAGGGCUGUCUCCAAUCCAGGUCUGCCUGCCCCCCUUCACGGCCCCACCCUGUGCGGCAUGAUGUGUUACAGCUGGGAGGAAGUGUACGUCUCACUCUCACUUCCUCCCAGCACUCCGGACAAGUGGGAAGGGGCCCGUUCAUGCUAUUAAAGUGCUGUAGCGCAUGACCAGGCUCCUCAUAGCACAUGUCCAUCAGGUGGCCCUAAGUGUAUGGGCAACCCGAUGGACCCGCUCACCUUGCGGUACCCAGCCCGUGCGCUUGCAUCACUAUCAUUACUGUUUUUUUUCUGCAUACCCACUGGGGCAUUGAAUUGUACCCCUUGCGGUACACGUACCACGGGUUGAGAACCCCUGUCCUAGAUGAAUGGCUUGACUGGGCUAAGAGCUUCAUCUGCCCAGGUUUGGCCCAUUUGAGGCCAGCAUGCAGGAGUCACCCUGUAUGACUAUUGUUCACUAGUUUGCCAGUUAAGAACUGUCUGACUUGGCUCUUUACUUCACUAAAGCACUCAAGCCCCUCUGCCUCAUAAAGGCUUGUGUCCCUUGAAGGGUUGCCCCUUACUAAACAGACAUCACAAGAAAUAGUUUCUGACAAACUCUCGCGACACAAAAACAAAAGGAGUGACCAUCGUAUGCCCUCCUCUUGCCCACUCGCAGACAUAACCACGUAUUUGGAUCCCUAAGGCAGGUUUAUUAUGCUGUCAAGCAGGGUUGGUACUGUUUCUUUUCCCAUUUGCUCACUAUAUGCACCCUGUGUGCCAGAUCCUUCCUACUGGCAAACAUUCACAGCUGACCUAUUCUAAUCUUAUGCUACACACAUAAUCAUUGGAGGGGUCUGCUCCCCAACAGUAGACAGGAGCGCACAGUGGACAAAAAGAUCACAUCUUGUAGAAACAAUGUGUCAUUAUUACAAUUUCUUGCCUCAAACAAACAUCCCUCUACUACAGACUUCACCUUUGUCUCACCCCACCAUUUGUAUUCCAGGAUAUAUCAUUUCCUCUUUCCAGUAGAACACAACUUUGACAGAUGACCGGAACCCCAUAUAAGGAAACUCCAUCAGACUAAUUCAAGACAGAUGGGGAGGACCACACAGAUUGGCUGAAGGUGGUCCGUUAUCUGGUAGAAAGAACUUUAAAACCAG